AAGUCGUAACAAGGUAACCGUAGGUGAACCUGCGGUUGGAUCAUUACAGAAAAGAUCUGGCCUUGGCCGUUUGUUGAACAGACUCUCUCCCUUUCGGGGUGAGGUUUCUGUGAAGACAUUCACAAACAUCUUGUGAACUGUGUUGUCUCUGGCGGCUGGGCAGAAGGUGGCAAUCAGCCACACUCCUGUCUGUCAACCUGAUGUAGCAGUCAGGCCGUGGACAAGCCGCCAAAUGCUUGCAUAAACCUGAAGUCAUCUUUGUUUUGUCUAACAUUAUAUUGUAUUGAAUGAUGCAAACAACUUUUGGCAACGGAUCUCUUGGCUCUC
rnacentral:misc_RNA from 1 species